AUAAUAAUGUCCGGAUGUCAA
rnacentral:miRNA from 1 species